rnacentral:rRNA from 1 species
UGGGGAAUCUUGGACAAUGGGGGCAACCCUGAUCCAGCCAUGCCGCGUGGGUGAAGAAGGCCUUAGGGUUGUAAAGCCCUUUCAGUCGUGACGAUGAUGACGGUAGCGACAGAAGAAGCCCCGGGUAACUCCGUGGCAGCAGCCGCGGUAAUACGGAGGGGGCAAGCGUUGUUCGGAUUUACUGGGCGUAAAGGGCGCGUAGGCGGACGGUCAAGUCAGAGGUGAAAGGCCCGGGCUCAACCUGGGACGUGCCUUUGAAACUGAUUGUCUUGAGUGCGGAAGAAGGUGACGGAAUUCCCAGUGUAGAGGUGAAAUUCGUAGAUAUUGGGAAGAACACCGAUGGCGAAGGCAGCCAUCUGGCCCGGUAUUGACGCUGAGGCGCGAAAGCGUGGGGAGCAAACAGGAUUAGAUACCCCUGUAGUCC